AUUGAACGCUGGCGGCAUGUCUUACACAUGCAAGUCGAACGGUAACAGGUUAAGCUGACGAGUGGCGAACGGGUGAGUAAUGUAACGGAACGUGCCCAGUCGUGGGGGAUAACUACUCGAAAGAGUGGCUAAUACCGCAUACGACCUGAGGGUGAAAGCGGGGGACCGUAAGGCCUCGCGCGAUUGGAGCGGCCGAUAACAGAUUAGCUAGUUGGUGGGGUAAAAGCCAACCAAGGCGACGAUCUGUAGCUGGUCUGAGAGGACGACCAGCCACACUGGGACUGAGAAACGGCCCAGACUCCUACGGGUGGCAGCAGUGGUGACUUUGGGACAAUGGACUCAAGUCUGAUCCAGCCAUGCCGCGUGCGGGAAGAAGGCCUUCGGGUUGUAAACCGCUUUUGUCAGGGAAGAAACGAGUUUCUCUAAUACAGAGACUUAAUGACGGUACCUGAAGAAUAAGCACCGGCUAACUACGUGCCAGCCGCCGCCGUAAGAC
rnacentral:rRNA from 1 species